AUUUGACCUCAAAUCAGGUAGGAGUACCCGCUGAACUUAAGCAUAUCAAUAAGCGGAGGAAAAGAAAAUAACAAUGAUUCCCCUAGUAACUGCGAGUGAAGAGGGACAAGCUCAAAUUUUAAAUCUGUUAGGUUUACCUAACCGAGUUGUAAUUUGAAGAGGCGUUUUUCUGUGUUUUUGAUCAGCCCAAGUCCUUUGGGAUAGGGCAUCAUGGAGGGUGAGAAUCCCGUUCGGUUGAUCAGAUUCGCUUUACGAUACGUCAUCUAAGAGUCAAGUUGUUUGGGAUUGCAGCUUAAAAUGGGAGGUAAAUUUCUCCUAAGGCUAAAUAACGGCGAGAGACCGAUAGCGAACAAGUACCGUGAGGGAAAGAUGAAAAGAACUUUGAAAAGAGAGUUAAACAGUACGUGAAAUUGUUGAAAGGGAAACGAUUGAAGCCAGUCGUACCUUCGGGUAAUCAGCCUUUCGGGUGCGAUUCUGUGGAGCGUGGGGAGUUAAACGCCUUCAUGCCUGCAUAUUCGUGCACUUUGGGUGUACUUGCCCGUGUGGUAGGUUAACAUCAAUUUCGGAUGUCAUAAAAUGGCUGGAGGAAUGUAGCUUCGGUCUCGUACUGAAGUGUUAUAGCCUUUGGUAGAUGUGAUGACCGGGAUUGAGGAUUGCAACGAAUACCUUUUGGGCUAUCCGUCUGAUCUCUGAAAGUUGCUCUGGUGCCGAAAGCUUGCUUACGGUUAUCAAAGUUGACGUUCAAAAGGUUAGAACGGGUUAAAUUCGUUAAGGAUGUUGACGUAAUGGCUUUAAACGACCCGUCUUGAAACACGGACCAAGGAGUCUAACAUAUAUGCGAGUGUU
rnacentral:rRNA from 1 species